GGCUACGAGAGAGUUCUCUGGGUCCACCUCCCACCCGUGUUUAUUUACCUUGUUGCUUCGGCGGGCCCGCCUUAACUGGCCGCCGGGGGGCUCACGCCCCCGGGCCCGCGCCCGCCGAAGACACCCUCGAACUCUGUCUGAAGAUUGUAGUCUGAGUGAAAAUAUAAAUUAUUUAAAACUUUCAACAACGGAUCUCUUGGUUCCGGCAUCGAUGAAGAACGCAGCGAAAUGCGAUACGUAAUGUGAAUUGCAAAUUCAGUGAAUCAUCGAGUCUUUGAACGCACAUUGCGCCCCCUGGUAUUCCGGGGGGCAUGCCUGUCCGAGCGUCAUUGCUGCCCUCAAGCACGGCUUGUGUGUUGGGCCCCGUCCUCCGAUUCCGGGGGACGGGCCCGAAAGGCAGCGGCGGCACCGCGUCCGGUCCUCGAGCGUAUGGGGCUUUGUCACCCGCUCUGUAGGCCCGGCCGGCGCUUGCCGAUCAACCCAAAUUUUUAUCCAGGUUGACCUCGGAUCAGGUAGGGAUACCCGCUGAACUUAAGCAUAUCAAUAAGCGGAGGAAGUUCGAUAGUGAACCCUCUCCAACAGCCUCCCACGAGUUCUAUUUAAAUGCUGAUUAAGCGGACCCGUAGAAUGGACCUCGGGGGGGCUCAGCCC
rnacentral:rRNA from 1 species